AGAAUCAACGCUGGCGGCGUGCCUAACACAUGCAAGUCGCACGAGAAAGGGGAGCAAUCCCUGAGUAAAGUGGCGCACGGGUGAGUAACACGUGAAUCAUCUACCUUCGAGUGGGGAAUAACUGGAAGAAAUUCCAGCUAAUACCGCAUAAUACCUACGGGUCAAAGCAGUAAUGCGCUUGAAGAGGAGUUCGCGGCAGAUUAGUUAGUUGGCGGGGUAAUGGCCCACCAAGACGAUGAUCUGUAUCCGGCCUGAGAGGGCGCACGGACACACUGGAACUGAAACACGGUCCAGACUCCUACGGAGGCAGCAGUGGGGAAUUUUGCGCAAUGGGGGAAACCCUGACGCAGCGACGCCGCGUGUGGGAUGACGGCCUUCGGGUUGUAACCACUGUCGCGAGGGACGAAAAAGUGACGGUACCUCGAAAGGAAGCACCGGCUAACUCUGUGCCAGCAGCCGC
rnacentral:rRNA from 1 species